UACGUAGGGUGCAAGCGUUGUCCGGAAUUAUUGGGCGUAAAGAGCUCGUAGGCGGCUUGUCGCGUCGUCCGUGAAAACUUGGGGCUCAACCCCAAGCUUGCGGUCGAUACGGGCAGGCUAGAGUUCGGUAGGGGAGACUGGAAUUCCUGGUGUAGCGGUGAAAUGCGCAGAUAUCAGGAGGAACACCGGUGGCGAAGGCGGGUCUCUGGGCCGAUACUGACGCUGAGGAGCGAAAGCGUGGGGAGCGAACAGG
rnacentral:rRNA from 1 species